AACAGUUCGAAAGAAUUGCUAAUACCCCAUGUGAUCUUAGAGAUUAGAUGCUCUUUGAUUAAAGAAUUUAUUCGCUUCGGGAGGAGCCUGCGUCCCAUCAGCUAGUUGGUAAGGUAACGGCUUACCAAGGCGAUGACGGGUAGGGGACCUGAGAGGGUGGCCCCCCACAAUGGAACUGAAACACGGUCCAUACACCUACGGGUGGCAGCAGUAGGGAAUAUUAGUAAUGGGCGAAAGCCUGAACUAGCAACACCGCGUGUGCGAUGAAGGCCUUCGGGUUGUAAAGCACUUUUAGAGAGGACGAGGAAGGACGGUACUCUCUGAAUAAGUCUCGGCUAACUACGUGCCAGCAGCCGCGGUAAAACGUAGGAGGCAAACGUUAUCCGGAUUUACUGGGCGUAAAGCGCGUGUAGGUGGUUUGUUAAGUAGGGCGUGAAAGCUCCUGGCUCAACUGGGAGAGGUCGUUCUAAACUAACAGACUAGAGGAUGGUAGAGGGAGGUGGAAUUCCGGGUGUAGCGGUGGAAUGCGCAGAUAUCCGGAGGAACACCAGUGGCGAAAGCGGCCUCCUGGACCAACCCUGACACUCAGACGCGAAAGCUAGGGUAGCAAACGGGAUUAGAGACCCCGGUAGUCCUAGCCGUAAACGAUG
rnacentral:rRNA from 1 species